GGGGAUGUAGCUCAGUGACACAGCACUUACCUAAUGCAUACAAGGUCCUGGGUUCAAUCCCCAGCACCCCUC
rnacentral:tRNA from 1 species